rnacentral:rRNA from 1 species
AUUGAACGCUGGCGGCAUGCCUUACACAUGCGAGUCGAACGGCAGCAGGUCUUCGGAUGCUGACGAGUGGCGAACGGGUGAGUAAUACAUCGGAACGUGCCCGAUCGUGGGGGAUAACGGAGCGAAAGCUUUGCUAAUACCGCAUACGAUCUACGGAUGAAAGCAGGGGACCGCAAGGCCUUGCGCGGACGGAGCGGCCGAUGGCAGAUUAGGUAGUUGGUGGGAUAAAAGCUUACCAAGCCGACGAUCUGUAGCUGGUCUGAGAGGACGACCAGCCACACUGGGACUGAGACACGGCCCAGACUCCUACGGGAGGCAGCAGUGGGGAAUUUUGGACAAUGGGCGAAAGCCUGAUCCAGCCAUGCCGCGUGCAGGAUGAAGGCCUUCGGGUUGUAAACUGCUUCUGUACGGAACGAAAAGACUCUUUCUAAUAAAGAGGGUCCAUGACGGUACCGUAAGAAUAAGCACCGGCUAACUACGUGCCAGCCGCCGCGGUAA